rnacentral:rRNA from 1 species
AAAUGUAAUGGAUAUAAAGCUUAUGUUUAUAUAUAUAGACUAUAUAUAAGUAUAUAAAGAGACUACUACCAAUAGCUACACUAUGUAUUAAGGAGAGUAAACUUAAUUUAUGUUUAUGAUUUUAUCCAUACCUAAACUGACCCCAGGAGCAAUGGGUCGGGUUAGCAUCCUGGUUCGUACAGUUACGUACACCUUGGUGUGACCUAGGCUAGUACUAGGUCCCCGUCUAAGGGACUUGCGUCGGUCCUUCCUAGGGCCGAGGUGUAUAAAUACUUACGGACGGCCUGGAACCCGGUCGUGUGAAUUGAUCAACAUAUGAACUCUUAGAGAAAUUACUUAAUAAACGAAGUGAAUUGAAAUAUCUUAUUAACUUCAGGAAAAGAAAUCAAACGAGAUUCUAUGAUUAGUGUGAACGAAAAUAGAGCAGCCUAUUAAAAUAAGUAAAAUGGCUUUAAAGCUGUUUGAAUAUUGUGGGGAACCUUCCUCAAAGGCUAAAUAUAAUACAUGAGUUACAGAGAAAAGUACCGUGAGGGAAAGCUUUGAAAUAGUAGUUUUAUAAGCAGCUCAAGCAAUAAGAAAGCGAGAGCGUACCUUUUGCAUAAUGGGUCACCAAGUUAAUUUUAGAUGCGAGCGAAUUUAUUUAUGUUUUUACUGAUUAAACAAUAUAAUGAAUCAUAAUUAUUUUUGUAACGAGUAUUAGUAUUAAAUCGGGUGACCCCGGGCCCCCUUCGGGGGCCGGGGGCCCUAAUUUAAUAUUAGUAUAAGUUUUCAGUAUGGCGGCUACAUAGCAUAAUCUAUGCAGCCAGCCAAUAAUUGGAUUUCCAAUCCAAUUUCGGUAAUAAAUAGAUGUGCAUAGUUAAACCGAUCAUUAAAAUAAUGAAUAGUGUCUAAAGUUAGACCCGAAGCCCUGGUGAUCUUACUAUAGUCAGGACUAUAAAGGUCCGAACGGGUUAUCGUUGCAAAGAUAUCCGAAGAACUAUGGUAAGCGAGUGAAAGACAACACUGACUAGGAUAGCUGGUUUUCUGCGAAACCUAUAAUAGUAGGCAAUUUAAGUAACAUCUUAGUAGGUACAGAACUUAAUCUCAGACAAGAUGUAGAUUUUCAUACCUAUGUUUAGGUAUGAAAUGCAUUUUUUUUUGUAUACAUCGGGGGAUCGUGAAGAUUUUAUCGGUGAGUAUGUAGACUCGGAAUGACAAAGAUGAAUCUUGAAUAAUCAGACAUAGAAUGAUAAGGUUGUAUGUCAAAAGGGAAACAGCCCAGAACAAGAGUUAAGGUUCCAAAAUUAUUAUUAAGUGAAAUAAAGAAAGUUUUUAUAUAAGUCGACAAGAAGAUGGGCUUGGAAGCAGCCAUAAUUUAAAGAUCUCGUAACAGAGCACUUGUUAAAAUCUUAAAAAGCAUCGAAAAUUUAACGGAUCUAAAUAAUAUACCGAAACCUUGUCCAUAUGUAACAUUAGUAAUAAUAUGCUAUUAAUGUUAUUUGAUGGGGUUUGAUGGGGUAGCAGAACGUUGAGUGAAUCUUAGAUUUUUUUUUUAUAACUAAAUAUAGAUGAUAACUCAAGUGAGAAUGGUGACAUGAGUAACAAAAAAGAGUUUAAGGUACCUAAAAGGUAUCUUAGAGUCUCGCCUAAAGCUUAUGGCUACGUCAAGUAACGGCCUCUAAGUUUAUAAUCUGAAGAUUAUGACGAUGAGAAAAUAACGCGCAGAAGUGCGCUGCUUUGAUACUUAGGUACCAACAUUUCAAAGUGAAAAUUGUGCAGGAAGGAUCAGUAUCCUUUCAUUCUUAUGUGGGGGGGUGGACAAACUGAACAGAGGUUUUUGAACAGAUGAGUCCACACCCCCCCCCAUGUAAUGAAUGCGUACCUAGAAUCUGAAACAAGUAAGCUAGUAGAGAAUACGAAGGCGUGAAUGAGAUAACAAUCAUAAAGGAACUCGGCAAACUAACUACCGUAACUUAGGGAUAAGGAGAGCUCAUUAGUCUCGAUUAAUACGAGUAAAAAGGAAGAAGCAUGGAAUAUUGUUGUACGACUGUUUAAUUAAAACAAAGCACUUUGCAAAAAGACGAUAAGUCUAAGUAUUGAGUGUGAUUUCUGCCCGAUGCCGGCUGGUUAACGAAUUUUCUAAAUUGAAAAAAAAUUUGGUUUCAGAGGAACCCCCGGUUAAUGGCGGCCUUAGCGUGAGGGUCCUAAGGUAGCGAAAUGCCUUGGCCGUUAAAUGCGGUCUUGCAUGAAUGAUGUAACGAUACAACAGCUGUCUCUAUGAUUGACUCAGUGAAAUUGGAAUAACUGUGCAGAUACAGUUUACCUCUAGUUAGACGAGAAGACCCUAUGCAGCUUUACUGUUACUAAUUAUUGAAUACGAUUCUGAAAAUUUCCAGUGUAAAAGGUAAUCGAUAAGAUAUAAUUGAAACACCUUUAUUUUUCUAUCGUAUUAUUAAACCUUAAAUUAAGGAACAAUUGUUAGAAGACAGUUUAUGCGGGGCACAGGCCCCAUAAAGAGUAAAUGGGUGUGUCUAAAAUUUAUAAAUUUAUGUUUGCAAUUUUUUAUAGUGAUUAUAUAUCAAAUCAUCUUUAUGCUAUUCAUAGAGUGUAUUUAUUAUAUUCCUUGGGUACAGUAUAAAAAUUAUAUAUGUAUUAAUUUACAUAUAUUUUUUCUAAGAAAUUAGGUAAGAUUUUGUUUAUAGAGAAAUUAGAAUGUAAAAAAAAAAAUCUUAUGAGGGCGGUAUUUAAUAAUCCGCUUCUAAUAUUUUUUUGUAGUUAUUAUUAUAAAUUUAAUAAUAAUCAUGUUUAUUACUUAAAAAGCUUAAUGGCUUAAUCUUGCCUUACUGUUUGAUUAACAACAAAUCUUACAGUCGCGUAAGCGGGGCAUAGGAUCACAAGAUACAAAAAGGAAAGAUCUUGGAUUUUUGGAAAAGCUACGCUAGGGAUAACAGGCUAAUUUGCGCAAGAGUGUACAAAAUGAGUGCGCGGUUUGGCACCUCGAUGUCGGCUUGACUAAUCCUCAUGGAUGCAGAAACUAUGUAGGGUACGACUGUUCGUCGAUUAAAAAGUUACAUGAGCUGGGUUAAAUACGUCGUGAGACAGUAUGGUUUCUAUCUUCUAGAGGGAAUUAGAAUAUAAUAAGGAUUAACCUUUGUACGAAAGGAACAUGGGGUACUAUUGUUAUACCUAGUUGUAUAACAGUUUUAUUAACCUCUGGUUUACCUGUUGUUUAUGUGCCUGAUAUUAAUUUCAUGUGUGAUGCUCCGCAAGGAUAUUACAGGGAUGUUACCGUCACUUGAGUAAAUACAAUAGCAUAAGCAUGGCAGGAAAGCUAAGGUUAGUCAAAAAUAAGUGCUGAAAGCAUAUAGGCACGAAAUUUACCUUAAGAUAUUUCUUAAAUAUACGUAAGAAAAUAUUACGUUAAUAGGCUUAGUUUGUAAUAAUCUAGAGAUUUUAAGGAACUAAGUACUAAUUUUAUAAAAAAACUGAAUGAUUAAUAUAUCUUACAUUUUC